UUUUUUUGUUUUGGUUAGUGUUUGUGCCAAGUAAAGCCUUUGGGAUGAUUUGCAUGAUGAGUAGAAUUGGUACGGUGCAAAAACAGAAACUUUGACGUCAAGUGCACAAUUUCUCUGAUUUUACUGGAAAGUCUUUUUAAGCUGAAAGUUUUAAACAAUAUUGCUAUACAAAUUCCCUGGGUAUUCCUAAGGUUUCAUAAUUUUUGUAGUUACACAAGUAUAGGUUCAUUACAGAUUACUACAAAGUGUUCUAUUUCGGUCAGAUUCUGUUUUUGGUUGCGUAGUUUGCUUGUUUUGAUGAUACUAUGGAUUGUAUAAGGGGUAUAAGCCAUGGAAAAGUUAUAAUACACUACCCUAUGUUAAAAUAAAAUAAGAAACAACUUAUAAAAGCAGCUGAAAGUAUUUGAUAUGUUUCUUAUACUAACGGAUCUCACGAAGUUUUGUUUAGUUUUAUUUGAUUGAAGUUUUCAAGUUUUGGGUAUUAUCCAGAUAGACAAAGGAUUGAGGAGCAGAAAAAAUCUAAGAAUGGGGAUUCUCCAGAAGGCAUCUCCUCUUUUCGUCUCAAUCCAUCGGUAUGUCACUUGGAGCUAUAUUUUUAUUCAUCACAUGAUGUGAGUUUUGCUUGGAACAUCAUUUGCUUUUGUCUGCUUCUACUUUCGGUUUGACACAAUCAUUGUUUUCUGGACACACCUAUUUGAGAGAGAUACCAUAUCAUCACAAUUUGUUAGAAUACUCUAUGUGCUUCACUUAUAUCUUUUGAGCUUAGCAAUUGCUCUAGUACUUCACUUAUAUGUUUUUUAGCACGGUGGCAUGUAGAUUUUAUAGAAAUAUUACGCUCUUGUUCUUCAUGUUUGUUUGAGAGUCAGAUCCUUAAGAUUCAAAACAAUAGUUUACUAUUGACAUGAAAACAAUAAUACUUCAAGCAUACUAGCAAAGUAAUCAUUAACUUUUGAAAUAACAAGGCCAAAUAAAGUUAUCCCUACAAAAUCAUAUAGUCUGGCUACGCUCCAUCAUCCCCACACAACGUUUAAAUCAUGUACAACCCCGGUAUUGGCCAAGUAAUUGUUUUUGCACUCUUACUUUCUCAAACUUUUUCAACUCUCACGCAAUACAUGAGCGUGAGCCAUGGAUAUAGCACUAUAGGUGAAAUAGAGUGUGGUGGAGGUUGUGAGGUAAAAAGGAGGAGAUGGUCACAUUGACUCGGCGUAUCAAUGGGCUAUGGAGAUGCCCAUCAAUAGAUAUCAAUGUGAGUGAGUAGAGAUUGCCAUGCAAUGGAUGCACUAGAGCUAUAAGUGUGUGAAAGCUCAAAAAGAAAACUAGUGGGUGUGCACCCAACUUGCUUGCUCACGAAGACCUAGGACAAUUUUGAGGAAGCCCAUCAUUGGAAUAUACAAGCCAAGUUAUAUAAUGAAAAUUCCCACUAGUAUAUGGAAGUGACAAAACAAGAGACUCUCUAUCAUGAAGAACAUGGUGCUAUUUUCAAGCACAAGUGUGGAAAAAGAUAGUAGCAUUGUCCCUUCUCUCUUUUUCACUCAUUUUUUUGUUUGGGCGCUUUGGCCUCUUUUUUUAUUUCCUCACAUGGGACAAUGCUCUAAUAAUGAUGAUCAUCACACUCUUAUUUACUUACAAAUCAAUACUUAGAACAAUGAUGACUCUAUAUGAAAUGCCUCCGGUAGUGUACCGGGAUGUGCAACAAUCUAGCUUAGCGUAUGACGUUGAAACAUCUCGCUAGCUAUCUUACGAUCAUGCGAUGGCAAUAUGAAAGUGACGGCACAUGUCAUGAGACGGAACGGUGGGAUUUGCAUGGCAAUAUAUCUCGGAAUGGCUAUGAAAAUGCCAUAAUAGGUAGGUAUAGUGGCUGUUUUGAGGAAGGUAUAUGGUGGGUUUGUGCACCGGCGAAAAUUGCGCGGUACUAGAGAGGCUAGCAAGGGUGGAAGGUAAAAGUGCAUCUAUACCAUGGACUCACAUUAGUCAUGAAGAACUCAUAUACUUAUUGCGAAAGUUUUUAUUAGUAAUCGAAACAAAGUGCUAAAUUCAUACUCCUAGGGGAAGGGUUGGUAGGUGUUAACCAUCGCGCGAUCCCGACUGCCACACAAAGGAUGACAAUCAAUAAAUCAAUUAUGCUCCGACUUCCUAACAUAGCGGUUCACCAUACGUGCAUGCUACGGGAAUAACUAACCUCAACACAAGUAUUUCUAGAUUCACAACACCCUACUAACAUGAUUCUAAUAUUACCAUAUCCAUAUCUCAAAACUAAUUGUGAGGAAUCAAACUUCUCUUACUAAUCGAUGCACUUGAAUAUGGAAGUUUUUAUUAUAUCCUCUUUGGAUGCCUAUCAUAUUUAGGACUAAUUUCAUAGCACACGCCAAUUACCAAGUUACUUAGAGAGAGCACUCUCAAAAAUAUAUAAGUGAAGAUCGAGAGUUUUUAUUUCUACAAAAUAUGACACUGCCGUGCUCUAAAAAGAUUUAAGUGAAGCACAAGAGAAAAAUUAUCUAGCUCAAAAGAUAUAAGUAAAACACAUGCGAGCUAAAUUGCCUAACUCAAAAGAUAUAAGUGAAGCUCAAUGAGUAUUCUAGCAAAUUCACAAUGAGUGCAUGUCCCUCUCAAAAAGGUGUGCAGCAAGGAUGACUGCGACAAAACAAAAAGCAAAGACUCCUAUAAUACACUAUGCUCCAAGCAAAAUACAUAUCAUGUGGUGAAUAAAAAUAUAGCCCCAAGUAAAGUUACCGAUGGAUUGAAGACGAAAGAGGGGAUGCCUUCCCGGGGCAUCCCCAAGCUUAGGAUUUUUUGUGUCCUUUAAUAUGGCUUUGGGGUGCCUUGAGCAUCCCCAAGCUUAGGCUCUUGCCACUCCUUGUUCCUUAGUCCAUUCGAACUUUACCCAAAACUUGAAAACUUCACAGCACAAAACUUAACGAAACUUCGUGAUAUGGGUUAGUAUGAUAACAAGCAAAUAAAUCACUUGGGUACUGUCAAAACAAGACUCAUAAUUAUUUUCACACAAUGCCUAUUGUAUCUUAUCAUUUCCACAAUUUAUAUCACUUAAUAUAAUCUAUGGAAACACUAAAACAAGCAAACUAUGCAUUGAAAACAGAAUAUGUCAAGAACGGAACAGUCUAUAAUGAUCUAAAUGCUAACCAUACUUCUGCACCUCCAAAAAUUCUGAAACAAUUAUGACAAUUAGGGCUAUUUGCAUAUCAAUCAUCAGCAAAAAGAAUCAUCUCAAUAUCAUAGGAAUGAAAAAUAAUUUUGUGAGCGCAAAGUUUCUGUCUUUUUCAGCAUGAUCAAACAACUAUCACCCAAACUAAUCAUAAAGGCUUUACUUGGCACAUUAUUGUAACUAAGGCAAUAAAACAUGAUUAAUACAGUAGCUUAAUCAUGUGAACACACAAAAACAGUAAGGAUACAUAUUGGGUUGUCUCCCAGCAAGCACUUUUCUUUAAUGCCUUUCAAGCUAGGCAUGAUGAUUUCAAUGAUGCUCACAUAAAAGAUAAUGGUUGAAACAUAAUGGAAGCAUCAUGAAGCAUAUGACUAGCACAUUUAAGUCUAACCCACUUCCUAUGCAUAGGGAUUUUGUGAUCAAACAAUUUAUUGGAGCAAGAAUCAACUAGCAUAGGAAGGCAAAACGAGCAUAGCUUCAAAAAUUUCAACAGAUGGAGAGGAAGCUUGAUAUUAUUGCAAUAUGUAGAAGCAUAUGAUCCUCUCUCAUAAUAAUUUUCAGUAGCAUCAUGAAUGAAUUCAACAAUAUAACCAGCACCUAAAGCAUUAUUUUCAUGAUCUACGAGCAUAGAAAUUUUACUACUCUCCACAUAAGGAAAUUUAUUCUCAUGAUUAAUAGUGGGAGUAUCGUAAAAGACUUGAGCACUACAAAUUGUUUCCACAUUAAAAGAGUGAUGUUCAGUGAAAGGAUACUCAAGAGUAUGACAAGUUUUAUCAUCCCUCUUCUUUAUAGCAUAAGUAUCAUCACAAUAAUCAUCAUAGAUAGGGGGCAUGCUUUCAUCAUAAUAAUUUUGAUCAUUUAAAGUGGGGGAACUAAAAAGAUCAUCUUCAUCAAACAUAGCAUCCCCAAGCUUGUGGCUUUGCAUAUCAUUAGCAUCAUGGGUAUUCAAAGAAUUCAUACUAACAACAUUGCAAUCAUGCUCAUCAUUCACAUAUUUUAUGCCAAGCAUUCUAUGUAAUUCUUCUUUUAGCACUUGAGCACAAUUUUCCUUCCCGUCAUUUUCAUGAAAGACAUUGAAAAGAUGAAGCAUAUGAGGCAACCUUAAUUCCAUUUUAUUUGUAGAUUUCUUUUAUAGACUAAACUAGUGAUAAAACAAGAAACUAAAAGAUUUGAUUGCAAGAUCUAAAUAUAUACCUUCAAGCUCUAACCUCCCCGGCAACGGCGCCAGAAAAGAGCUUGAUGUCUACUACGCAACCUUCUCCUGGUAGACGUUGUUGGGCCUCCAAGUGCAGAGGUUUGUAGGACAGUAGAAAUUUUCCCUCAAGUGGGUUACCUAAGGUUUAUCAAUCUGCGGGAGGCGUAGGAUGAAGAUGGUCUCUCUCAAGCAACCCUGCAACCAAAUAAUAAAGAGUCUCUUGUGUCCCCAACACACCCAAUACAAUGGUAAAUUGUAUAGGUGCACUAGUUCGGCGAAGAGAUGGUGAUACAAGUUCAAUAUGGAUGGUAGGGAUAGGUUUUUGUAAUCUUAAAUUACAAAAACAGCAAGGUAACUAAUAGUAAAAGUGAGCACGAACAGUAUUGCAAUGCGUGGAAACAAGGCCUAGGGUUCAUACUUUCACUAGUGAAGUUCUCUCAACAAAGAUAACAUAAUUGGAUCAUAUAACUAGCCCUCAACAUGCAACAAAGAGUCACUUCAAAGUCACUAAUAGCGGAGAACAAACGAAGAUAUUAUUGUCGGGUACGAAACCACCACAAAGUUAUUCUUUCAGAUCGAUCUAUUCAAGAGUCCGUAGUAAAAUAAGACGAAGCUAUUCUUUUCGUUCAAUCUAUCCUAGAGUUCGUUCUGGAAUAACACCUUAAGACACACAUCAACCAAGACCCUAAUGUCACCUAGAUACUCCAUUGUCACCUCAAGUAUCCGUGGGCAUGAUUAUACGAUAUGCAUCACACAAUCUCAGAAUCAUCUAUUCAACCAACACAUAGAAUUUCAAAGAGUGCCCCAAAGUUUCUACCGGAGAGUCAAAACGUGUGCCAACCCAUAUGCAUAGGUUCGCAAUGUUAUGAAACCCGCAAGUUGAUCACCAAAACAGACAUCAAGUACUCACAUGAAUAUCCCAUUAUCACCACAGAUAGACACGUGCAAGACAUACAUCAAGUGUUCUUAAAGACUCAAUCCGAUAAGAUAACUCCAAAGGGAAAACUCAAUUCAUUACAAGAAGGGAGAGGGGGAAGAACAUCAUAAGAUCCAACUAUAGUAGCAAAGCCCGCGGUACAUCGAGAUCAAGACAUCUCAAGAACACGAGAGAGAGAGAUCAAACACAUAGUUACUGGUACAUACCCUCAGCCCCGAGGGUGGACUACUCCCUCAUCGUCAUGGAGAUCGCCGGGAUGAUGAAGAUGGCCACCGGAGAUGGAUUCCCCCUCCGGUAGGGUGCCGGAACGGGCUCCCAAUUAGUUUUUGGUGGCUACAGAGGCUUGCAGCGGCAGAACUCCCGAUCUAGCUUUCUUUUGGGGGGUUUCUGUAUUUAUAGGAAUUUAUGGCUGUGGAAUUACGUCGGUUCGGCCCACGAGGAGGUCACAAGCCUGGUAGGUGCGGCCUAGGGGGGUGGGACGCUUCCUGGGCUUGUUACUCCCUCGUGGCUCUUUUGUCCUUCUUCCAAAGCUUCGGGGGUCUCUUUUGGUCCAAAAAAAUCAUCGCGAAAGUUUUAUUCCAUUUGGACUCCAUCUGAAAAAGGGUCAAAAACACGGAAAAACAGAAACUGGCACGUGGCACUAAGUUAAUAGGUUAGUCCCAAAAAAGAUAUAAAAUAGCAUAUUCAUGCAUAUAAAACAUCCAAAGUUGACAAGAUAAUAGCAUGGAACCAUCAAAAAUUAUAGAUAUGUUGGAGACGUAUCAACCUCGUCGCUCCAUCGCCACCACGUCGUCGUGCUGCCGGAGCUCUUCCCCAACCUCUCCCUCCUCCUUUCUGGAUCAAGGUGCAGGAUACGUCAUCGGGUUGUACGUGUGUUGAACGCGGAGGUGUCGUGGUUCGGCACUAGAUCAGAAUCACAACGCGAUCUGAAUCGCCGCGAGUACGACUCCAGCAACCGCGUUCUAGCAACGCUUCCGCUUAGCAAUCUUCAAAGGUAUGAAGAUGCACUCACCCCUCUCUCGUUGCUGGUCUCUCCAUAGGAAGAUCUGAAUAUGGCGUAGGAAAAUUUUGAAUUUUUCCUACGUUACCCUCCAGUGGCAUCCCAGCAGGUUUUCUAUGCGUAGAUUCUUUGCACAAGUAGAACACAAAAAGGUUGUGGGCGCUGAUUUUGUCAAUUGCUUGCCACUACUAGUCUUAUUCUUUUCUGGCGGUAUUGUGGGAUGAAGCGGCCCGGACCGACCUUACACGUACGCUUACGUGAGACUAGUUCCACCGGCUAACAUGCACUAGGUGCAUAAGGUGGCUAGCGGGUGUCCGUCUCUCCCACUCUAGUCGGAUUGGAUUUGAUGAAAAGGGUCCUUAUGAAGGUUAAAUAGCUUUGGCAUAUCAUCGUUGUGGCUGUCAUGUAGGUAAGAAGGCGUUCUUGCUAGAAACCCAAAUCAGCCACGUAAAACUUGCAACAACAAUUAGAGGACGUCUAACUUCUUUUUGCAGGGUUUGACAUGUCAUGUGAUAUGGCCAAAGGAUGUGAUGUUACAUGUGUGAUGUAUGAGAUGAUCAUGUUCUUGUAAUAGGGAUUCGCGACUUGCAUGUCGAUGAUUAUGACAACCGACAGGAGCCAUAGGAGUUGUCUUAAUUUAUUGUAUGAGAUGCAACGCCAUGUGUUUACUACUUUUACUUCAUUGCUAACGGUAGUUGUAGUAGUAGUAGUAGUUGGCGUGACGACUUCACGGAGACACGACGAUGGAGAUCAUGGUGUCACGCCGGUGACAAUGAUGAUCAUGCGAUGCCCGAAGAUGGAGAUCGAAAGAGCAAAGAUGAUAAUGGCCAUUUCAUGUCACUAUAUGAUUGCAUGUGAUGUUUAUCAUGUUUUUCAUCUUAUUGCUUAGAACGACGGUAGCAUAAUAAGAUGAUCCCUCAUAAAAUUUCAAGAACUUAUUCCCCUAAGUGUGCACUGUUGUGAAGGAUCGUUGUCUCGAAGCACCACGUGAUGAUCGGGUGUGAUAGAUUCUAACGUUCGCAUACAACGGGUGUAAGCCAGAUUUACACACGCAAAACACUUAGGUUGACUCAACGAGCUUAGCAUGUGCAGACAUGACCUCGAAUACGAGAGACCGAAAGGUCGAACAUGAGUUGUAUGGUUGAAUACGAUCAGCAUGAAGUUGCUCACCAUGAUGACUAGUCCGUCUCACGUGAUGAUCGUACACGGAUUAGUCGACAUGGAUCAUGUAUCACUUAGAUGACUGGAGGGAUGUUGAUUUAAGUGGGAGUUCAUACUUAAUUUUAUUAAAUGAACUUAAUUAUCAUGAACUUAGUCUAAAAGUUGUCUUUACAAAUAUUGUAGAUCCAAUGGCCAACGCACCUGUCAACCUCAAUUUCAACGCGUUCCUAGAGAAAACAAGCUGAAAGAUGAUGGUAGCAACUAUGCGGACUGGGUCCACAACUUGAAGCUCAUCCCCAUUGCAUCAAAGAAGGCUUAUGUCCUUGAUGCGCCGCUAGGUGACCCCUGUUCCCGCGGCAGCCCAAGAUGUUAAGAACGUCUGGCAAGCGCGGAGUGAUGACUAGUCUCUAGUUAGGUGUGGCAUGUUAUACAAUUUAGAACCGGGGCUCCAAAGGCGUUUUGAGCAACACGGAGCAUAUGAGAUGUUCCAGGAGCUGAAGCUAGUUUUUCAAGCUCAUGCCCGGGUCGAGAGAUAUGAAGUCUCCGAAAAGUUCUUUAGCUGCAAGAUGGAGGAGAACAGUUCUGUUAGUGAGCAUAUUCUCAGAAUGUCUGGGUUGCAUGGUUGUCUGACUCAGCUUGGAGUCGAACUUCCGGAUGACGUUGUAAUUGACAGAAUCCUCCAGUCUCUCCCACCAAGCUACAAGGGUUUUGUGUUGAACUACAUCAUGCAAUGGAUGGAGAAAACCAUUCCCGAGUUGCACUCGAUGUUGAAAUCUGCAGAAGUAGAAGACAAGAAAGAGCAUCAAGUGUUGAUGGUCAAUAAGACCACCAGUUUCAAGAAAGGCAAGGGUAAGAAGAACUUCAAGAAAGACGGCAAAGCCGUUGCUGCGCCCGGUAAACCAGAUGCCAGGAAAAAGAAAAAUAAUGGACCCAAGCCUGAGACUGAGUGCUUCUAUUGCAAGGGAAAAGGUCACUGGAAGCGGAACUGCCCCAAGUACUUAGCGGAUAAGAAGGCCGGCAACGUUAAAGGUAUAUAUGAUAUACAUGUUAUUGAUGUGUACCUUACCAGCGCUCGUAGUAGCUCCUGGGUAUUUGAUACCGGUGUUGUUGCUCACAUUUGCAACUCAAAGCAGGAACUGCGGAAUAAACAAAGGCUAGCCAAGGACGAGGUCACGAUGCGCGUCGGGAAUGGCUCCAAGGUCGAUGUGAUCGCCGUCGGCAUGCUGCCUCUACAUCUACCUUCGGGGUUAGUUUUAAACCUUAAUAAUUGUUAUUUAGUUCCAGCUUUGAGCAUGAACAUUGUAUCAGGGUCUUGCUUAAUGCGAGACGGCUACUCAUUUAAGUCAGAGAAUAAUGGUUGUUCUAUUUAUAUGAGUGAUAUGUUUUAUGGUCAUGCUCCGCGGGUGAAUGGUUUAUUCUUGAUGAAUCUCGAUCGUGAUGUUACACAUAUUCAUAGUGUGAAUACCAAAAGAUGCAAAGUUGAUAAUGAUAGUCCCACAUACUUGUGGCACUACCGCCUUGGUCAUAUUGGUGUUAAGCGCAUGAAGAAACUCCAUACUGAUGGACUGUUAGAGUCUGUCGACUUUGAAUUAUUUGACAUAUGCGAGUCGUGCCUCAUGGGAAAGAUGACUAAGACUCCAUUCUCAGGAAUAAUGGAGAGAGCAACCGACUUAUUGGAAAUAAUACAUACUGAUGUGUGUGGUCCAGUGAACGUUGAAGCUCGCGGUGGCUACCGUUAUGUUCUCACUCUCACCGAUGAUUUGUGUAGGUAUGGGUAUAUCUACUUGAUGAAGGACAAAUCUGAAACAUUUGAAAAAUUCAAGGAAUUUGAAAGUGAGGAUGAGAAUCAACGUGACAGAAAAAUAAAGUGUCUACGAUCUGAUCGUGGAGAAGAAUAUUUGAGUCAUGAAUUUGGCACACACCUCAGGAAAUGUGGAAUCGUUUCACAACUGACGCCACCUGGCACACCGCAAUGUAACGGAGUGCCUGAACGUCGUAAUUGCACUUUAUUAGAUAUGGUACGAUCUAUGAUGUCUCUUACCGACUUAUCGCUAUCAUUUUGGGGAUAUGCAUUGGAAACUGCAGCAUUCACUUUAAAUAGGGCACCGUCUAAAUCCGUUGAGACGACACCAUAUGAACUAUGGUUUGGUAAGAAACCUAAGCUGUUGUUUCUAAAAGUUUGGGGAUGCGAUGCUUAUGUGAAGAAACUUCAACCAGAAAAGCUCGAACCCAAAGCGGAGAAAUGCAUAUUCAUAGGAUACCCUAAGGAAACUAUUGGGUAUACCUUCUAUCUUAGAUCCGAAGGUAAAACCUUUGUUGCCAAGAACGGAUCCUUUCUAGAGAAAGAGUUUCUCUCGAAAGAAGUAAGUGGGAGGAAAGUAGAACUUGAUGAGGUAAUUGUACCCCCUCUCGAAUCGGAGAGUAGCGCAGCGCGGGAAAUUGUUCCUGCUACGCCAACUGAACAGGAAGUUAAUGAUGAUGAUCAUGAAGCUUUGGAUCAAGUUGCUACUGAAGCGCGAAGGUCCACAAGGGUACGUUCCGCACUAGAGUGGUACGGCAACCCUGUGAUGGAAAUCAUGUUGUUAGACAACGGUGAACCUUCAAACUAUGAAGAAGCAAUGGCGGACCGGGAUUCCAACAAAUGGCUAGAGGCUAUGAAAUCCAAGAUAGGAUCCAUGUAUGAGAACAAAGUAUGGACUUUGGUGGACUUGCCCGAUGAUCGGCGAGCCAUAGAAAAUAAAUGGAUCUUCAAGAAGAAGACUGACGCAAACGGUAAUGUGAUCGUUUACAAAGCUCGACUUGUUGCAAAGGGUUUUCGACAAAUUCAAGGAGUUGACUACGAUGAGACUUUCUCUACCGUAGCGAAGCUAAAGUCAGUCCAAAUCAUGUUAGCAAUUGCCGCUUUUCAUGAUUAUGAAAUUUGGCAAAUGGACGUCAAAACAGCGUUCCUUAAUGGGUAUCUUAAGGAAGAGUUGUAUAUGAUGCAACCAGAAGGUUUUGUCGAUCCUAAGAGUGCUAAAAAGGUAUGCAAGCUCCAGCGCUCCAUCUAUGGGCUGGUGCAAGCAUCUCGGAGUUGGAACAUUCGCUUUAAUGAGGUUUUUAAAGCGUUUGGGUUCAUACAGGUUUAUGGAGAAGCCUGUUUGUACAAGAAAGUGAGUGGGAGCUCUGUAGCUUUCCGCAUACUGUAUGUGGAUGACAUACUAUUGAUGGGGAAUAAUAUAGAGUUAUUGGAGAGCAUAAAGGCCUACUUAAACAAGAGUUUUUCAAUGAAGGACCUUGGAGAAGCUGCAUACAUAUUAGGCAUCAAGAUCUAUAGAGAUAGAUCGAGACGGCUCAUAGGUCUUUCACAAAGUACAUACCUUGACAAGAUAUUGAAGAAGUUCAAUAUGGAAAACUCAAAGAAGGGGGUUCUUGCCAGUUUUGCAAGGUAUGAGAUUGAGUAAGACUCAGUCACCGACCACGGCAGCACAUAGAGAGAAGAUGAGUACUGUCCCCUAUGCUUUAGCUGUGGGCUCUCUAAUGUAUGUCAUGCUGUGUACCAGACCUGAUAUAAACCUUGUCAUAAGUUUGGUAGGGAGGUACCAAAGUGAUCCCGGUAUGGAACACUAGACAGUUGUCAAGAAUAUCCUUAAGUACCUGAAAAGGACUAAGGAGAUGUUUCUCGUUUAUGGAGGUGACGAAGAGCUCGUCGUAAAGAGUUACGCUGAUGCUAGCUUCGACACAGAUCCGGAUGACUCUAAGUCACAAAUCGGAUACAUGUAUGUUUUGAAUGGCGGGGCAGUGAGCUGGUGCAGCAGCAAGCAAGAUGUCGUGGCAGCAUCUACAUGUGAAGCGGAGUACAUAGUUGCUUCAGAAGCGGCUCAUGAAGGGAUUUGGAUGAAGGAGUUCAUCACCGACCUUGGAGUGGUACCAAGCACGUCAGGUCCGAUGACACUCUUCUGUGAUAACACUGGAGCCAUUUCAUAGCUAAGGAGCCCAGAUUUCACCGGAAGACCAAGCACAUCCAACGCUGCUACAACUCCAUCCAGGACCAUGUCCAGAGAGGAGUCAUAGAUAUUUGUAAAGUACACACGUAUCUGAAUAUUGCAGACCCGAUGACUAAAGCUCUUCCUCGAGCAAAACAUGAUCAACACCACAAUGAUAUGGGUGUUCGAUACAUCACAAUGUAACUAGAUUAUUGACUCUAGUGCAAGUGGGAGACUUUUGGAAAUAUGCCCUAGAGGCAAUAAUAAAAUGGUCAUUAUCAUAUUUGCUAGUUCAUGAUAAUCGUCUAUUGUUCAUGCUAUAAUUGUAUUAACAGGAAACAGUAAUACAUGUCUGAAUAAAUAGAUCAUAAUGUGUCCCUAGCAAGCCUCUAGUUGGCUAGCUCAUUGAUCAAUAGAUGAUAAUGGUUUCCUGAUAAUGGACAUUAGAUGUCAUUGAUAACGGAUCACAUCAUUAGGAGAAUGAUGUGAUGGACAAGACCCAAUCCUAAGCAUAGCACUAGAUCGUGUUGUUCGUAUGCUAAAGCUUUUCUAAUGUCAAGUGUCUUUUCCUUCGACCGUGAGAUUGUGCAACUCCCGGAUACCGUAGGAGUGCUUUCGGUGUAUCAAACGUCACAACGUAACUAGGUGACUAUAAAGGUGCACUACGGGUAUCUCUGAAAGUGUCUGUUGGGUUGGCAUGAAUCGAGAUCGGGAUUUGUCACUCGGUGUGACGGAGAGGUAUCUCUAGGCCCACUCGAUAGAACAUCAUCAUAAUGAGCUCAGUGUGACUAAGUAGUUAGUCAUGGGAUGAUGUGCUAUGGAACGAGUAAAGAGACUUACCGGUAACAAGAUUUUACAAGGUAUGGGAUACCGACGAUCGUAUCUCGGGCAGGUUCUAUACCGACAGACUAAGGGAAUUAUAUAUGGGAUUGAGUGAAUCCUUGACAUCGUGGUUCAUCCGAUGAGAUCAUCAAGGAACAUGUGUGAGCCACCAUGGUUAUCCAUACCCUGCUGAUGGUUAUUGGCCGGAGAGGUGUCUCGGUCAUGUCUGCAUGCCUCCCGAACCCGUAGGGUCUACACACUUAAGGUUCGAUGACGCUAGGGUUAUAGGGAAUUGUUAUACGAGGUUACCGAAGGUUGUUCAGAGUCCCGGAUGAGAUCCCGGACGUCACGAGGAGCUCUGGAAUGGUCCGGAGGUAAAGAUUGAUAUACAGUAUGGAUGGGUUUGGACGCAGGGAAUGUUUCGGGCACCACCGGCAAAGUGUCGGGACCACCGAAAGGGUUCCGGAGGCCCACCGGGAGAGGCCACCAGCCCCAGGAGGCUACAUGGGCCAAGUGUGAGAGGGAACCAGCCCCUGGGUGGACUGGUGCGCCCUCCACACCCAGCCCAUGGCGCCUAAGAGGGGGAAGGGGGAACCCUAGUGCAGGUGGGCCUAAGGCCCACCAAGGGAUGCGCCACCCCCUCCUCCCCUCCUGGCCGCCACCCCUCCCCCCAUCUAGGGCUGCCGCACCCCUUAGGGGUGGGAAUCCUAAGGGGGGGCGCCACCCUCCCUUCCCCCUAUAUAUAGCGGGGGUUUGGCCAUUGGAGAUACGCAAUUUCAUCUCUCUCUCGGCGCACCCCUGCUCCUCUUCUUCCUCCUCUCCCACGGUGCUUGGCGAAGCCCUGCCGGGAGACCUCGUCGCUCCAUAGCCACCACGCCAUCGUGCUGCCGGAGCUUUUCCCCAACCUCUCCCUCCUCCUUGCUGGAUCAAGGUGCGGGAGACGUCAUCGGGCUGUACGUGUGUUGAACGCGAAGGUGCCGUGGUUCGGCACUAGAUCGGAAUCACACCGCAAUCUGAAUCACCGCGAGUACGACUCCAUCAACCGCGUUCUAGCAACGCUUCCGCUUAGCGAUCUUCAAAGGUAUGAAGAUGCACUCACCCCUCUCUCUUUGCUGGUCUCUCCAUAGGAAGAUCUGAAUAUGGCGUAGGAAAAUUUUGAACUUUUGCUACGUUACCCUCUAGCUAGAUCUUUGGACAUCCCGGUACACUGCCAUAGGCAUUCAUACAUAGUCAUAUCGUCCUAUCAGUUUUCAUAUUGAGUUGUAAGUAAAUAAAUGUGUGAUGAUCAUCAUUAUUAGAGCAUUGUCUCAGUGAUGAAAUAAAAAUGGGGGAGGCGAAAUUAGCCCACUAUAAUAAAAAAAAUGAAUGAAUGGGAGAAAAAGAGACAAGUGGCUUUGUUACUAUCCUUUACCACACUUGUGCCUCAAAGUGGCACCUUGUUCUUCAUAUAGCGAGUCUCAUGUUAUAUCAUUCAUAUGCUAGUGGGAAUCGCUUUUUCAUUAACUUGGCUUGUAUAUUCUGAUGACGGGCUUCCUCAAAUGCUCGAGGUCUUCAUGAGCAAGCAUGUUGGAUGCACACCCCCACUUAGCUUCAAUGGAGCUUUCAUACACUUAUAGCUCUAGUGCAUCAUUUUCACGACAAUCCCUACUCCUUGCAUCGAUAUCUAACGUCGGUCAUAUCCAUAGACCAUUGGUAUGCCUAGUUGAUGUGAGACUAUCUUAUCCUAUUUUAUCCCUUUUGAAACCUACCACCAUAUUCCAUUCCACCUUUAUGCUAUGUCCAAUGUUCACGCUCAUGUAUUGCGUGAAGAAUAGAAAGUUGAUGCAUAUUGAGAAACUACAAUCCAAUUGCCUGACUUGGACACUGUGGUGCUUGAAAUUUGCAUUAAUGUGGUGAAGAUGGAGCCAUGCCUUGCUAAUAUAAUAAGAUGGGUAGGGGUAAAACAAUCUUUGAGCAUCGUAUACUUUGAAAGAUUAAUGAUUUUGCUGCUUAUACCUAUAAGUAUUGUUGUCUUAAUAUUUGUUAAUUCAUCGUUUCUCACUGACCAUACAUGCAUAAGGUUACAUCAUGGACGCAUGACACAUCAAAGUUUCUAUUUUUAUCAUUUACCUACUCGGGGACAAGGAGGAAUUAAGCUUGGGGAUGCUUGAUACGUCUCCAUCGUAUCUAUAAUUUUUUAUUGUUCCAUGCUGAUAUAUUAUCAUUUUAGAAUAUUUUGGGGUAUUUAUUUACCAAUUUAUAUUAUUUUUGAGCACUAACUUAUUGUCCCAGUAUCCGGUGCCACUUGUUGUUUUCUGCAUGUUUUUCACUUUUCAAGUUUUCCGUAGCAAAUGAAACCCAAUUGACCUAAAACUUUUUCAUGAUUUUUCUGGACCAAAAGAAGACCGAGGAGUAUCAGAAGAAGGCUCGAGGCCUGACGAGGGGCCCACAAGUGAACAGGGUGCUGUCUGGGGGGUACGCCCUGACGUCUUGUGGCUCCCUCGUGGCCCUCCCAAUUCUGUUCUCUGGCUUAUCAAUUCUCUUUUACCCUAGAAACAUUGAAAGGAGUCUGGAACACUUUUUAUACCGUCGCAAGUCUUUGUUCCUACGGUAGGCCGUGUGGAGCUCCGUUCCGGCACCGUGUCUGAGGGGGGUCGAUUGCGGAGGACCUAUUCAUCAACCUCGUUGCCCUCACGAUGAUGUGUGAGUAGUUCACCACAGACCUAUGGGUCCAUGGCUAGUACCUACAUGGCAAUCUCUCUCUCUCUCUCUCUCUUGAUCUUCAAUACAAUGAUCAUCGCAUCUUCGCUUUGAUCCAUAUGAUGUAAUUCCUAUUGUGCAGUGCGUUUGUUGGGAUCCGAUGAAUUGUGAGUUUAUGCCCAGAUUAUUCAUGAUAAAUAUUCCAGUCUCCUCUGAAUACUUAUAUGAUUCUUAUGUGCAUGAUUAUGAUGGCUUCAUAAUUCUCUCUGAUCUAUUGAAAUAGUUUGGCCAGAUAGAUUGAUAUUUCUUUGGUGAGAGAGGUGCGUUGUACUAGGUUCAACCUAGCGAAUUUCUAUAUCCCAGUGACAGAAGGGAACAAGAUGCGUCUUUGUGUUGUUGUUACUAAGGAUAAAAGAUGGGGUUUAUUCAUAUUGCUUGAGUUUACUUUGUCUACAUCAUGUCAUUGUUCUCCAUGCAUUACUCUGUUCUACUUAAUAGAUGCAUGGUGGAUAGCGGUCGAUGAGUGGAGUAAUAGUAAUAGGUGUAUGCAGGAGUUGUCCUAUUUUUGUAUGGACGUGAUGCAUGUAUACACAUGAUCAUUGUCGUGAAUAUCGCAUAACUUUCUGCUUUUCUGUCAAUUGCCCAACAGUAAUUUGUUUACCCACCAUAUGCUAUUUUUCAUGAGAGAUGCCAUUAGGGAAACUAUGGCCCCGGGGCCUAUUCACAACAUAUUAAUGAAACCUUCAAUACCUUACUACCAUUUACUUGUUUUUAUUUUAUCCUGCUAUCUACAAUUAUCUACACACCUCACUCACUUGCAAAUAACAAGAACAAGAGGAUUGACAACCUUGUUGCCCGCGUUGGGUGCAACUUCUUUGUUCUUUUGUGUGCAACCGCUGAAGACGGUUGUGGUUGAUAUUCCUAUUUGUUCGAUAAACCUUGGUUUCAUAACUGAGGGAAAUACUUACCCACAUUGCGUUGUGAUAACCCGUUCCUCUUCACGGAAAACCCAACGGGGAUCACAAGUAUCAUUCUAUUAUCAUUAUUGGACUCCAGAUAACUAAAGCGAUGUUGUGUUCAAGACGUACUCUUUCGAAGACUUGGUGUGCAUUCCAUAUGUAGGAUCCAAAGUAUGUAUAGAGUGGGGUGAUUAGACUACCUGACCAAAUAAAAACUUAGCCUUUUCCCAAUUUUAGUUGUGGGUCAGUUUUAGCAAUUAUGACUAGUCAAGUUCACCCUACACAUGCAUAUCUAAGAGUAUAGCAGCGGAAACAAAAGACAUGUAAAUGUAAUGUAGAGGGUAGGGAAGGAAUAUCAAACACAAAGGUUGAAACGGCAAUUUUUGGCAUGGUUCUGAUAGGUGGCGCUAUCGUACGUCCACGUUAGUGGAGACUUCAACCCACGGAGGGUAAUGGCUGCGAGAUUCCACGAAGGGCUCCACCCAUAAGGGGUCCAUGAAGAAGCGACCUUGUCUAUUCCACCAUGGCUUACAUCCACACAAGAUUGACCUCACUCGCGGUAGAUCUUCAUGAAGUAGGCGAUCUCCUUGCCCAUACAAACUUCUUGGUUCAACUCCACAACAUGAAGUAGGAGGCUACCAAUUGACACCUAAACAAUCUAGGAGGCACCACCCUCCAAAAGGUAAUAGAUGUGGUAGAACGAUGAACUCCUUGCUCUUGUGCUUCAAAAGAUAGUCUCCUCAACACUGAAUCACUCUCUCACAGAUUUGGCGUGGGUAGGAGAGAUUUAUUUUGUGGAAAGAAACUUGGGGAGGCCAAAGAUCAAGUUUCUAAUGGAUGGAUUGGAAUCCCUUGAUCUCAACACAUGAACAGGUGGCUCUCUAUCAGAAAAAUGGAACUGGCAAGUGUGUGUGUGUGUGUGUUCUGGGUGCUUCCUGUGUGAAUGAGAGGAGGUGGAGGGGUAUAUGUAGGCAACCCGCAAAAUACAACCGUUACAACAUUAUUGCCCAACUCGAUGACACCGAAAUGAAUCUCGGUGGUACCGAAUUGCACUAAAUGUGGCAACUUCUGAAUUCUCGGUGAGACCGAUAUAUGAAUCUCGUUGGUAUCGAUACGAUGACCUAGGGCAGUUUUCAAAUCUCGGUGGUACCGAUUUCAAUCUAAAAAAUUCCAAUUCUUGAAAUAGAGAUACCAGAAAGUUGGUCAGUGUCUUUCGGUGGCAUGGAUAUGAAAGUUGGUGGUACCGAUAGAUUAGGGUUUGGCAAAGGAUUUGUCACUGGGAAAAUGGAGGGACGAAUGGGAAAACUUGGUGGCACUGAUUUUGUUGUUUUGGCUUGCGACAAAGACUUUGUCACAGAAAUGUGGAGUAUUUUGGUGGCUAUCUCUAAGUAAUUAAGUAGCCAAUUCAUCAUAAUACGUCACCCCCUUUUAAUAGUAUUGGCUUUCCUAUGGGCUCAAAAGUGAUUUCUCACAAAUAUAAAAUGUAGAGUCCCCUUGCUUGAAGCGUGAGCCAAUCCUAUUCCUUUCCUUGCACCAAGGGGUUUCUCCUCACAAUCCUUUAGCCAAUGCAUCUUUGAACUUCUUUGAAAUAUACUUGGAUAAGAUCAUUAGUUCAAUGAUACAUAUGUUGUUAUUAAUUACCAAAAUCACCUUAGGGGCAAUUGUGCUUUCACCAUGUCCACGUGAUGAUCGACAUGUUUCCUCGCUGAUGUUACAGACGUUGUGUAACCCUAGCACCCCUGGUAUCUAUAUAAACUAGAGGAUUUUAGUUCAUAGGACAAGUUAAGGUCAUACUCCUAGGUUUUAGACCAUAACAUACGAUCUUGAGGUAGAUCAACUAUGUACUUGUUACACCACCAUCAAUAUAAACAAGAGCAAGACGUAGGGUUUUACCUCCAUCAAGACGGCCCGAACCUAAGUAAUUACCCUCUCCUUUGUCUCAUGUUACCCACCGAUCCAAGAUCCACAGUUUGGACCCCCUACCCGAAAUCUGACGGUUUUGACACCGACACUCACCCCCCACAAAACAAGAGAAGAUUCACCUAGAAGACGAAGCUCAAGAGAUGAGUCACCUCGAAGAGAGAGAAGGAGUAGAGAAGAUCGUUAAGAAUUAAGACCCUCCCGGAGAAGCAAGGAAUCGGAGAAGAAGUACAAGUACACCAAGAGCCACUCAAGAAGAAGACAUCAAGCUCAUGUUGGUGAAUGGGUAUCUGGCUCCAAAUCCGACAACCAAUUCGAGAGAAGCUACCACUCCAACUCCGAUUAUAGUCAAGAUGAAGAUGUUGCGGGUCUUGCACUCAUAUCCUCCAACUCCUAUGACAUAUUUGAUUCACCAAAUGAAGGGAUUAGAAAUUGAUUCAUGGCUAAAGUCCCCAAGGUAUCACAUCAUGGGUACUUUGCCUUUAAUAGUGAUGGGGAUGACUUACUAGGAGAUGAUGGCUUGGUCUUCGAUAAAACUAGUGUUAUUGAUGAAAAUAAAGUUGAUGAUAAUCAUGCUAGUCAAGAUAAGUCAUGUGAUGAUGAUAAUAAGGAGAUUGAGCAUCUAAAUAAAGAAUUAAACACUCUUAAGUUAGCCCAUGAAUCUACUCUAGAAAAUCAUAGAGAGCUUGCAAUAACUCAUGAGAAGCUACGCUUCGAGAAGCUAAGUUUAGAACAAGAUCAUGAGUUUCUAAAAGGAACCAAUGAUGAUAUUCGAACGAAGAGUUCUUCUUAUCUAGCAAAAUGAUUACUCUUGCCUACUUUUGUUCCACAUGUUAAAUCUAAGUAAACUAGUAACAAACGCAAGAGAGUUUCUUCAUCUAGUAACAACAACAUUAAUGCUAAAUCUAAUGAUGAUGUUGCUAGUAUCUCUAUUGAUUCCACUAAAUAUUCUCUUAGCCAAGUUACACUUGAGAAAGAAAACGAUUUAUUGAAAGGAAUUAUAGAGAGAGGUGUCUUCAAGAGUCUUUCCAGAAGUAAGCAAUUCGAGGAGAUUGUACGCAAGCAAGGAGGACAUCAGAACAAACAAGGCAUUGGUUACUUAAAUUCCAACGAAGUUGAAUGGGAAGAAGGUUAAUACCCCAACCCUAAGUUUGUUCCUCAAAAGGAGAAGUAUGAUCCUACUCUCACCAAGGGAACAAAUGUUCAAGUUGACCUUCCACCACAAGACCACAAGCUCAAGGGCAAGGAAAAGCUUCAAGGGGAGAUUGAGUCAUUUGAAUAAGAAUCCCAAGCCAUGGUCAAGUGGAUUCCCAAGGCCACCACUAUCACUACUCCAUCAAACGCUACCUCAACUCCAAGGAUCCCCAUCAAGUUGAUGUGGGUCCCUAAGAAGAAGAACUAGAGAAGUUCUUGAGGGGUGACUCCGCAAACAAAUUUCACUCUUAUUCAUUUUGGCAAGAACUAUUUGCAAUCAACUCCAACCAUAUGCAUUAGUUCAAGGAGUCACACAUUCCCUCAAAUGGUAAGCAAGGGACAAGGUAAUAAAUGUAUCAAUGGACAUCAUCUUAUAUGUACUUCACUCCAUGUCCAUAGAUAUCCUUGUAUGGGCCUAACCCAUUUAGGUGAGAAGAGUAUGAAACAACAAGUAUAGCUCCCAACUCAAGAUGAUCUUCAUCAACAAUGAGCACCCACCACUCAUACGCCUACAUGAAGUCUUCUACGACAAAAACCCAAGUUUAUUUUGUCCCUCUUAGGGGGUGUAACAUCAAGGGGGAGCUUCACUCUAAGACUUGAGUCAAAGCAUCUCUUAAGAUGUGAACACAUUGAAAGCUUUAUAUAAAUGCGGCAACCCCACUUGUGCUUAAACGAUGAGUAUGGCCUAUGAUCAAGUAUUCUUACUUGGCUACUAAGCCAAUAUACUCAUAUAUAGAUGACUUCGUCCUUGCCAAAGUGCUUUGUAGACACUAGAGUGGUUGUGCAUGUUUGCCAUGUUUUAGUUGACAUCUUAUUGUGUGAGCAUGUUGGUACGCAUACUUUUGCUCAUUCGAGGAUAUCCAAUUGUGGUUAUUUGGCUUGUCGGCCAACUGGAUAUACAAAAAUGCCUAAGUACCCCUGUCUAGCUAUAUAUGCUUUCUCAUCUCAAAUUAUAUUCAUGCUUCAUCACAAAAUUUGAGCAAGCACUUUUCGGACCCUCUGUGUGAGGAGCACUAGGUGUUCUAUCUCUAAAAGAGCUAACUUCCAAAACCUCCCAUGUGCCACUCGGUAUGACCAACUCCACAAACUCGGUUCCAUUGAAGCACUAUGGUUGAUCUCGUUUUUGAACCUCGGUACCACCGAUUUUCAAAUCUCACACUCACCGAGUUUCUCUACCCCCUGCUAGUUAAGAAACUCGGUGGCAUUGGAUUUGUAGAAUCGGUAUCACUGACAGUAAGGGAUAUAUAUAUAUAUANUAUAUAUAUAUAUAUGUGUGUAUAUAUAUAUAUAUAUACACAUAUAUUCAAACAUCGUCCUUUGCAACCCCUUGCUGCUGCACUCGUAUCUACGAACGUCGCCACUUCAUCUCCAUGCGCCCUCACCACAGGAGCCCUUCACCGGCGACUGUAAUCAGACUCGUCGUCGUCUCCGUAGGAAGUCUUCACCAAGUUAGGGUAAAGAUAUCAACCCCUCUUGCGCUCCAUAAAUCAAAUAUCGCACAUUAGGACUUGUUUCCCAUCAUGCCACUGAUUGAAAGAGAUCCAUCCACAAAACAAAUCUAGUAGAAUAGCCGAACGAUAAUUUUUUUAAGUUUAGGUCUACGUUGUGUGUGUAUCAGAGUCACCGAGUUGGUACGGAUCGGUGUCACCGAUUCGUAGUUAGGGUUUUUAAGAAUUUUCUCGAGGAGACUGAGUUUCUCUUUUUGGUCAAACCAAAAAGAGUGGCCAAGUCUCUAUUUAAGAGAUAGUGAGUCUCGGAUACUCCCACGUUUUCAACCCGGUGGAACCGAAACCCACUUAGCAGAAACUUAAGAUUAAGAUUUUGAGUUGAAUGUUUUGCAAAGAUUAUAUGUUUUGUGGUGCUUAUCUUUUCCUACUCCUGUAUAUCUAUUCAUAGGGUCAGCUUGUCAGUAUGUCAGGUUCUGAGGGCAGCCAGAAUGCAUUCACAGAGCAGAGUGUCGAAGUGGACUCAGGCACUAGUACUGAGAGGAGUGAUUUAGAUCCACACACCCCUAGGUCACAUGGUCUGCCCAAGGCAGCAACUAAAACAAGGAAGAGGCUCAACUCAGAUGAAGAAGAUGCUCAUUUUAUCCCUCAGGAAAGCACUUCUCACAAGAAAAAGGAGAGAGUAAUUGUCAGAAAGGUUCGAGAGUCAGUUGCAGCCAAGAGAGGGUUGUCUCGAUCUUUAGAGCAACCUAGUGGGGUUGGAAGGACUAAAUCUCUAGCCCAGAAGCCGGGACAAAAUAGGCAAAGGACCAGGUUUGUCCAGGUAGUUGUUCAACCAUAUACACCUGAGUAUCUAGAUGUAACGACUAAGAUGCGGUCCUUUCCAUUUUAGGGAACGAAGCCCCAAAAUGGAAAGAAGCGCAUCUAAGCGUUUCGCAAGCACGAUAACAUAGAACAUACAUAAUAACAGAAUGGCAAUUAGGGAUUCAACUGUCAUCUCAUAAAUAAUAUCAAAGUUUACAUCACGCAUUUAUUCAAACAAGGUAGUUCCGCUAUGGACUACAUAACAGGAGAAAUGGCUAUGCUACCCUGCAUGCUUGCCCACGAUCACGACCACGCCUCAGUCUUCUGGAUAGUUCACGUACAGGCGGUCGUUCUCCUCAUCGUACUGCCACGCCAGCUGCGUGCCGUCGGGAUCACCUGUGUCGGGCGUACCUGUACCUAUUGGGGUGUUGAAGUAAUCUGUGAGCCACGGGGACUCAGCAAUCUAUGACCUCGGUGCCGAAACUAGCCAAGUUAUUAGGUAAGGAAGGUUCAGUGUUUAGAUUACAGCAUCCUAAGCAUUUAUGGUGGCUCACUUACGUAGAACAUGUAUUGAAGGUGGUAUAUACUAGCGAUCGAUGAUUAUAUGAUCAAGAAGUGAUCCUGAACACCUACUUACGUCAAUCAUAACCCCACCGUGUUCCCGAUCGAAGAGAGGUCUCCGAAGGGGACAGUCACGGUUACGCACACAGUUGGCAAUUUUAUUAGAUUAGUUCAAGUUAUCUAUAACCGGAUGUUAACAAAUAUUCCAAGUUGGCACAUAACCACGGGCACGGCUUUCCGAAAGAUUAAACCCUGCACGAGUGAUCCAACUAGUCCAUCACAAACGGUCACGGGCCGCAAAGUAAUCCUCUAUCACGAAUCUCGUGAUUUUGUCGGAUUCCUUAGAGGAAAACCUCAACUCUGGGGAGAACCAAAGCUUCACCGGGAUUCCUAUACGCGCUAAGGUAAGACAAGACUAGCAGGACCUCCCGUCGUGUCGACGACCCCGAUAAGAGCCGCGUAUCUCAGUCUCAGGACACGACGGAUGGAACUAGCUACGAGAACCAAACCUCAAGUUUCCUUGUGGUGGCCCCGCAGGUAGACCAGGUUGGACCAACACUCAUGAGGAGCACUGGCCCGGGUUGUUGAUUAAUUCCUCGGGGUAGCUAUUCCCUACGCAGAUUAUUAUUAAGUGAUUAGCAAAUUAACACCAAUGUUGGGUCCUGCCGGACAAGUCUUAACACUACACCAUUUAUCAAGGGGGUCCCCAUAACAACCCCGAACGUGUUAGGAGCGACCAGUUAUGGAAUCAAACACCGGUAGCCGGUAACUAUGGCGGCAAUAAUGGAACAAAACACCCGGCAAAAGGCUAGGCCUUCUGUUAUUUACCAAGUAUAUAGAUGCAUUAAUUAAAUAACAGAUUUAACAUAAUGGUAUCAACUCAUGUUGUCACAUGAGACAAGUGCACCUGCAACUAGCAACGCUAAUAUUAGUAGCUGAGCAAGCCUACUUAGUCAUUCAAGAUUUGCUAGGAAGGGAUAAGUGUUUGGGUUUCAUGGCAAUAUCAGGAGGCAAUUAUUUCAGUGGUAGGCAGCGAGCAUAUGACGAAAGAAACGCGAAUCUAGCAUAACAAGUCUAGAGAUGGAAUCAAGGUCAUAUCAUCUUGCCUGUGAUGUCCUCAGCUUGGAACUGCUCUUGUUCGUCCUGCACGUACUCUCCCGGGUCCACGUACUCGCUCUCCGAUCCCGGUGCUACCCAACAUAAGAAUAGCAUCCAAUGAACAACAUCACAAUAAGAUGCAACAAGCACAUGAUGCAUGAGAUGAAAAUGAACAUGCAUCAUUAUUCUAGUCACUAGCACAAGCAUGAGAAGAAUAUACAAGCUCCUGGACAGAACUGCACUCUAAGCUAUCUUGACAUGCAUGAGGAUGACAUGAACAUAUGCGUCACGUGAAAACGAUGCAAAAAACAUAUAAAGAACGUUACGAACGGAGCUACGGAUCAACCGGAAACAACGAAACAAGAAAUAGAGUCCUACGUGUCAAAUCCAUCACAACACACUCCAAUGGCAUACUUAUGGUAUUCCCAGGUUGCCAUAUCACAAAACAAACAAGUAUGGGUGGGCUGGUGCAAGGAAUAUCACCACACCAUCAACUAUGCACUCACAAGCUACAAAACAUCAAAACUACACAAUCUGUGCUAAACAGCAUCAUAGCAGUUUGAGGGCUACAUGCAAAGCACCUACAGCCACCCAAAUAUGCCAAAUAGGAUAUGUGGCAGAAGCUAUUCAAAAGCUCUACAAGCAUGAGCAAAAAGAUAAAGCAAAGGAGUUUCACGCAGAAAGUUCUACAACUACUAACUUGGACAAAAAUAUCAGUUUUCAGGGACUUAGUGAAAAUUCCAGAUUCUCACUAGCUGUUUAUGCUCUGAAGCAUUUUGACAGCACCCAAAACAGUAUCUACAGGAACCCAAAUGGAAUGAAAAUUUAUAGAGAGCUAGAGAAACACAAAAGCUACUACCUUCCAGUUGAUAGACAGGGCUGAUUCCCAACACAUGGACUUCUACAAGCACAACAACAGGAGAAGAAAAUAUAAGCAGAUUCUCAGACUUAGUGAAAAUCACAGAUUUUCACUAAACUGGAAUUUCAGCCACAUGCCUACUUUGACUAAGCACCACUUGCACAAAUGAUCUACUAAGCAUGAAACAAAACCAACAUGCUAUAGAGGGGGUCACCCUCUAAUGCCACAACAAUGAACCAACCUCUUGGGCUCAUCACAUCACAUGGAACCAAGCUCUAAACAUUGAACAAAAUAGAAAUAUGACAUUCCCAGAAAGUGUUCCGAAGUGGAAUAUGAACCCACCAUUGGAUUCCUGGGGUGAUUCUACCCCAAAAACAUAUAUAAUACAUAGGCACUUGCAUAGAACGAUUGGGCACAAAGCUAAGAAGAAGAUUUACAUGGAAUCACAUAGAGAUGAAUAGUGCAUCAUCACAUGUGCUUCCACUAGCUCAUCACCUACACAUGCAUAUGCACACUCUCACAAGUCCAAUGGUGCACCUGAGGGGUAGACCUCAUGUUCAUGUGCCUUAGCACAACACCACACACUCACUUACAACAAUCACACACAUAAUAUCACCUACACAUGCUAGUUAUCACAUACCUCACUAGCUUACACUCACAUAAGCAACUCUACACCUACACAUACCAACUUGCACAUGAGCUUAUCAAGGCACACCAUGCCUUGGGCAUGUGUGAGACACACACACACAAGCACACACACACAAGAUCACAUCACUACACACAAAGUAUGUGGGGGCAACCCACACACACACACACAUCACUUGCACAAGCUAGUACACAAGAUCAUCACUCACAUGCACUAAGUAACACACACACACACUAACCUUGUGCAAAGCACACAUACUAAUACACACACAUGUAUCACAUGGUAGCUUGCUCCACCUACACUACCACAUCCACAAGCACAAACACCAAGUGCUAGGACCUACAACAAAGAAGAACCUACACAUGCUAUAUCUACACUUGCUAGCAUAUAUACCAGAGACACCAUGCUGUUAUGAGGCAAGAAAAAUAACUACAUGAAGUAGCCAAGCAUACCACAGCACUUGUUCCAGCAAGCAAAUGCAAAACAGUAAAGGGAUGCAACAAAAAAUAAAGGGGCUGGUCUGGGAUUCGAACCCCAGACCUGCAGGUAUAACCCACUGAAACAACACCACUCUGCUACUGCUUUCUCAUACGACGGAACAGGGGAAUUAAUAGGAUCAGCUACUCAACGCGCUGCUGAUGCUACUGCCGAAAACAAAUAUCAAAAGGGGGGUGUGGCACCACGGGGGUUCGAUCCCUCGACCGCCUGAUCAACACACAUACACUGCAACCACUACACUAUGAUCAGGGACUUGACAGAGAGGAGGAGUCCUACUAGGUAACACAAUCAACAACAUGGUUGCCCUGCUCUGCCCUGCAUAGAGACGAUGGCAGCGUCAAUCACCGGAGCAUGCCCCUACCACUGUUGCUGCUCUACGCCGCGGGGUUCAUCUACGCUACUUGCUCUACCGCGUGGCAAGCCGUUCCCCUGAAGCCACGACGAGCCCGAGCACCUACACACAUGCGCAACACCUGCUCUUCCGUUUUCCUCUCCGGCCAGAGAGGCCCGGCCACGAGAAUCUACUUGCACACUACCGAGGGGAAAGGGGAGGAGGAUCUAGGUCUCACCAAGGGGGAGGAGAAGAGGGUCCCGAUCGGAGGAGGCAGCCUGAAGAAGACGACGCGGGGCCGAUCUGAAGAAGACUGAAGAUGUUCUGUCGCUGAACCGUAGCAGGAGGAACAGGGCCGCCGGGAGCACGCCGGAGACGUGGUCCUGCCCGUCGAUGUGGUCGCGCCCCGACCUCAACGACGACGGGAAUGGAAUGCGGGCGCCUUCCCUGCGCUCCCGGACAUACUGGACGGCGCCGGAGGGGAGGGGUGCACGGAGGACGACGGCGGCUACUUCUCUCUCUCUCUGUGUGUGCUAGCGGAUCUACAGAACUUACCUGGAGGAGGAAGAGAGAUGAAGGGAGGUGUGGCGGCCCUAGGUGGGGGGACGCGGAACCCUAGGCCAAGGGGGCACGCACGCCAAGGAUUAUAUGAGGGCCUCAACGUCCGUGAGCCUCACGGCAUGCUCGCUCUCUCACUGAAGCCUGACGGAAAGCGUGUGCGGGGUGGAAGAAACGCCGUCAGAGAAAGGAGAAGGAGCGCUUGGUUGGGCUCGCUAGGGAAACAGAGAGAGUAAUGGGCCUCGCGAAGGAAAGAGAGGAGGCCCAUGCUGCGCCUGAUAAUAGAGAAAAACCCCUGAGGUUUUCUAAUUACCAAAUGAACAGAGAAAAAAAAUAAGCUAAGGCAAAUCUGUUGGAGUUAUAAAUAAAAAAAAUACCCUGGUCAUAAGGGAAUUAUGACCCAUUUAAAUAAAAUAGAAAAUAAAUAUUUGGAGCAAUUAAAUAUUUACAAAACAGAAUUUAUAUGAUCUGUUUUGUGGAUAUUUGCACCUUUAAAAUAAAGUUUCAAAACAGCAAAUACACAUCCUCACAACCACCACAAAACAUACUAAAUCAUGGGCAUUUUUGAAAUAGGGAUGGGGCAAGUGGAUCUUGACCUUGAGAUAAAAGAGAGGAAGAAGGUUUUUAAAACCCUAGUGCAAACCAACAUAGAGCUUUCUACUUACAAUUGCACCACUCCAUACACUUCACAUAAACCACACCUCAUCACAUGAUAUCACACCACAUCAUAUGAUCACAAGGCAACAAACACAAAGACAUGGAAUGAAUGGAAUGCAUGCAUGCAAAGGAAACAUGACAAGGUGACACAUGAAAUAACACAUGCAUUGAGCUCUCAUAUCAAUGACAAGAUGGACCCACAUACAGAAGGUUCCAAUAGAGGCAAGUUACACUCUUGGGGCAUUACACUAGAUUAUGAGGAAGAAGAGGAAGAGGAACGAGCUAAUCCACAUCCUUCCAAAAAGAAGAAAUUGAUGGGAGAUGCUAUGCCCAGCAAGCUUGCAACCAAGGCCAAGCCAUCUGCUCCCAAGGCUAAGAAGCAUGUAGCCUCCAAUCCUAAGAGGACUACAAGAGACAUACUUGGAGCUGAGAAGAACAAGGGUUCUGCAUCAAGGGAUGGUGUUGCAGAGGAAGAUGAACUUGUUGUUUUGAGGAAGCUGAGACCUCAUAUGUGUGAACACAAUGAUGAACACCACAUUGCACAGAACAUGAAGGAAAGGAAGGAUCAAGGGCUCGGGAAGUGGAGAGUAUCUCAUCCGUUUACUAUCAGUAGGAGGACUAUCGUUGAUGCUCGCUUCCAUACUAAGGAGCGGUAAGAUUUUUUGAGUUUAUUCUAUUGGAUAAGAGUCCAGCUAUCGGUGACAUGAGGUAUGUAGAUUGGUACUAUAUCAAGCAGAACGAAGACUAUUUCCCUCAUGUGCAAGAAAAUUUCAGGGCCAUAGACAUUGAAGAUUUUGUUGGCAGAAAAAUGAUAGCAUGGAACGACGAGGUGAUCAUGCAAUUCUACUCCACAACUCUCUUCUAUCCAGAUGGUAGAAUAGUAUGGAUGACAAAAGGCACGAGGUACCAAUCCAUAGUUGAAGAGUGGGCUACCAUCUUAGGAGCCCAAAGGUACAAGAGAGAGACUUGGAUGUUUAUACCGAGGCCAAGAUGAAGCACAACUGAAUGUACAACAUGUACAACCCAGUGCCAAAGCAAUACCUAAAGACCCACAAGCUAAGCUCAGACUACUUUCUCCAAGCAGGACUACCCACCACCAACACCAUAAUGAGGUACACCUUGAUGCCCAAAGCAGGUGAUGAUUAGAUGAUCAUGGGGUAUUCCAUCAACAUGAUGCACCAUGUAGGCACUCACACAAGGAUCAGGGUGAUGGACCUGAUUGUAGAGACAAUUAGAAGGACUGAUGCUGACAAGAAGAGGUCUUGCGAAUACGCACCCUACAUUCAGAUGCUGAUCAACUCCAAGAUUGGGAAGAGAUGUGUGUAUGCUUGAUCGUCAACGCCUGCCACUCAAGCCAGAUUUUGAAGACAAUGUUGUUGUGAUGGACCCUAGUCAUCCCACUUCAGCAACUACACAGGCAGAGGUAGAGGAUGACGCUCACGCAGAGGCAGCCAGAGCUGCUAGUGCUCCAGCGAUGAGAUCCAAAGGAGAUGAAAUGUCAUAUCUUAUCAGCACCAUCCAAGGGAUGUAGAAGAACAUCAAAUAUAUCUUGUUAAAUUAGAAGAGUCUCGAGAGGAUCGUGGAAACCAAAUUCCAUGACCGGGACAUUAAGGUAACUGAGUUGACUACCACAAUGAACCAGUUGAAGCAGGAGGUUGAUGUAGUGCCCACUCUCAGCUCCAGCAGUGAUGAUGAUGAGGGUCCUUCUCUUCAGACUUCUACUCAGUUCAGGACCAAGGCCAGAUCUAGAGCUGUGACAGUUCCAGAGUCCAGGCCUUCUUCAUCAGUCCCAGCAUCAGCUCCAUCAGCUCCUACACCUUCGGUGUCUACUCUGCCACCUCAUAGGACAUUUUUUGGAGCCUUCGUCGACGCUCUCAUGUCGACUCCAUCAACUGCUACCAGAGGAAAUCGAGCCUAGAGCGACACAUAGUUCUAGAUCUUUGAACUUUUUGGUAACUUGUUGCCAAAGGGCCAGAAGUGUAUAGAUCAUUAGGGCUUCGAGAGAGAGAGAGAGUGUGUGUGUGUGUGUUGUUUUUGUUGCUUUCUUUGGUUUUCUAAAACAUUUGGUUUUUUGGAUGUCUUAAACUUUGUCGUGUUUGAUCAUACACUUUUAUUGUUGUUGUUAUUAUUUCCUAUCCUUGAGAUAUCUAUGUGAUGAUCAUUCACUUAUUAAUUGGUGUUAUGUGCAUUGCAAUUCAUUCAUAUCAUUUAUGCGCACCGCCACGUUGUAUGUGACAUGGAAGAGUGACACAUGAUCCUAAUCUAUUGUGCAUUUGCAUUAAAACACAAAUUUUGGGGGAGCUCCUGCUUAUUACAUACUUCUCAAAGUGACGAUGCUAUUCAUUGAUUAUAUCUUAUGUGGAAGCUUUGAUCUAUAUGUUGUCAUAAAUUAACAAAAAGAGGGAGAUUGAACGCACAACUUCUCCCUAAUGUGGUUUUGGUAAUUAAUAACAACAUAUAUGUCAUUGGACUAAUGAUUCUAUCUAGUAUAUUUCAGGAAAAGUUCAAUGAUGCAUUAGCUAAGGAUUGUGAGGAGAACCCCUAGAUGCAAGGGACAUCUAUUGGCAACAAGCUUGAAGACUCUAUAUUUUAUAUUAUGUGAGAAAUCACACUUGAGUCCAUAGGAAAGCCAAUACUAUUAAAAGGGGAUGAGGUGACUAUGAUGAUCUAGUUGCUCAAGUGCUUAGAGAUUAGCCACCAAAAAUACUCAUGGAUUAUCCCACAAAUAAUCUGUCCAAAAUCCUAAAUAUCCAAAAUUUGGUGCCCCCAACUUUUUCCAUUCGGCCCUACCGAGUUUUACCUCAGACUCAUCCUAUGCCAAACCUUAGAUUCUCGGUGACACCAAGUCUUGUUUUGGUAUGACCGAGAAUCACUAACCAACUCUCUGUCUACCUGUUUCUAAGAAUUGUAAUUUCCGAGUUCUAGGUAUCAAUGCCACCGAGUCUGGUAACUAUUGAGGCCAGCCAAAAUCAGACCCACCUAGAUUCAUAUAUCGGUCUCACUGGAACGUCGAAAGUUGCCACAUUUUGCACUAGUCGGUGCAACCGAUUUUUUACUUCGGUUUCACCGAGUUUGGCAAUAAUGUUCUAACGGUUGAAUUUUUGGAGAUACCUAUAUAUACCCCUCCACCACCUUUCAUUCGUAGAGGAAACACUCAGAACAUACAAACACUUGCCCCAUCCAUUUUUCUGAGAGAGUCACCUACUCAUGUGUUGGGAUCAAGAUAUUCCAUCCCUACCAUAUGAAUCUUGAUUUCUAGCCUCCCCAAGUUGCUUUCCACCCAAUCAAUCUCUUUUACCCAAGUCAAAUCUGUGAGAGAGUGAUUGAGUGUUGAGAUGCUAUUUUUUGAAGCACAAGAGCAAGGAGUUCAUCAUACUACCACAUCUAUUACCUUUUCGAGAGUGGUGUCUCCUAGAUUGGUUAGGUGUCGCUUGGAAGCCUCCUACUUCGUGUUGUGGAGUUGAACCAAGAAGUUUGUAAGGGCAAGGAGAUCGUCUACUUUGUGAAGAUCUACCCCGAGUGAGGUCAGUCCUUCAUGGACGUAAGCCGUGAUGGAAUAGACACGGUUGCUUCUCCAUGGACCCUUCGUGGGUUGAGCCCUCCAUGGACUCGUGUGGCCAUUACCCUUCAUGGGUUGAAGUCUCCAUCAACGUGGACCUACCAUAGCACCACCUAUCGGAAUCACGCCAAAAAUCUCCAUGUCAAUCUUUGUGUUUGAUCUUCCUAUCCCUACCCUCUAUUUACAUGUGCAUGUAUUUACUUCUUCCUGCUAUACUCUUAGGCUUGCAUGUGUAGGAUGUGCUUGACUUGCUACAAUUGCUAAAACUUGCCCACGACUAAAAUUAGGAAAAGACCAAAUUUUUAUUUAAUCAAGUAGUCUAAUAACCCCUCUCUAGACAUACUUCAGAUCCUACAGUUGCCUCGCCAGCCAUUAUGUCCUCUCUGCGCACACGAGAUCGACAUCAUUGAGCAUCUCUUGAUAGGCUGCAAUUGUGGCUAGGAUGGUUUGGAGCUGGGUUCUGCGGGCAACAGACAGGUUGGACCUGACGCCAAUUAUGGGAGAGCAUUUGAUGGCAUGGUGCACGAGCGCCUUGCAGGGGCGGGGGAAAAGGAGCUUCGGGCAAUCAUCCAUCUGGUGUUUUAGGAGCUUUGGAAGCAUCAGAACGAUGUCGUGUUCAACCAUCAUACUCUUAACUUCGGAGAUGUCAAGAGGUGCUUCUCAAGGUGCAAGCAGAGUGGAGUGUGUGGCAUAGCGUUGGCCUUCUUCGUGCGGAGGGCAUCAAUCUGACCAGUUUGCAGGUAGAGUGGAAUGCAACAACAAUAGACUAAAAACACCUUCGUGGAUGGUUGUGGGCCAGGAUUGUAUUGAUACCCACAAUAUGGUCAGACCUCUUUUGCCCCUUCUUCUCUAAUACAUGAUACUCAAGCUCUUCGUAUUCUGAGAGAAAAAAUAUGCCGAUGUUCUUUCUCCUAUUUUCCAUUCUCCCCCAUUUUUUGUUCCGUCACCGUGUGUAGACCAGUUUAGUCUUACACUUGCUACUAUUCAAAUAUCAUGAAAUGAAAGCAAUCCAAUGUACAAUGGCUCAUCCAAUUUCGUUAUGGAAACUCCACUCACAUAUAAAUACAAUGAUUAAGAGGAACAUACUCCUUCCGUCUCAAAAUAAGUGUCAUAAAUUUAGUAUUAAGUUAGAACAUCUCUAGUAGAACCCUCAAACCCUUAAAUCCAAAAUCAGUUUUAAGGGUUGAGAAUUGGCCAUUUUUGACACUUUUAAGGGUUGAAAAACAGAGGCAAAGACUAGAACCCUCAAACCCAACCCUUAUAGCCUAGUUUUGAACACUAUGAACAUGCACGCGGAGGAACAGAGGAUACAAAAAUGACUUCAGCCGCGGAGGAGCUCGCGCUCGCGGAGGAGCUCGCGCNNNNNNNNNNNNNNNNNNNNNNNNNNNNNNNNNNNNNNNNNNNNNNNNNNNNNNNNNNNNNNNNNNNNNNNNNNNNNNNNNNNNNNNNNNNNNNNNNNNNNNNNNNNNNNNNNNNNNNNNNNNNNNNNNNNNNNNNNNNNNNNAGGAGCUCGCGCUCGCGCUGCCUGGACGAGGCCGUCUCGCGUACCGCGCGGUGGAGCUCCGCCGGGCGCCGCGGCCCUUCUCGGUGGGCGGCGGCGGCAGGCGCCAUGGCGGGCGGGGGCGCGGCGGCGGCGGCCGCGGNUUUGAGGGUUCUACUAGAGAUGCUCUUAAUAUAAAUUUAAUACUAAAGCAGCGACACUUAUAUUAAGACGGAAGAAGUAUAUAUUAAGUAAAAGGCUAUCAAUGACCAAAUCAUACUCAUGUCAAGACUACAACAUGAACACAUUUAUGCAUGUGAAUCAUGUAACGUGAAAAAUACUUCAAAGAUUUCGAGUUUAGGUAUAAACAGUGCAAGAAGGUAAAAACAGAAGAAUAUGAUGGCACCAAACAUACCUACAAGGGCGAGGGGUGCAUCUGAUGACAUUAGCAUCCGUAACUUUCACAACAGACAAGAAUUACGAAACGGGUGUAGUAUUGUAGUACUCCCUCCGUUUCUAAAUAUAAGUCUUUGAAGAGAUUUCACUACAAGUCUACAUACGGAUGUAUAUAGACAUAUUUUAGAAUGUACAUUUAUUCAUUUUACUUCGUAUGUAGUCACUUAGUGAAAUCUCUAAAAAGACUUAUAUUUAGGAACGGAGGGAGUAGUAUAAAAGGAGCACAGAAAAUAUACCACCGCCGCAUGAGACAUCUAAAUGAUUGUUCAAGGACAGAUUAGUCAACCACCUUUUGCAUUUUUUUUAACAGGGCUUCAGAAAGAAGCUAGGGAAACAGACUAUUGUUCUCUCAACUAAAUAUAUAAAUAAAUACCCCAUCAACAGUUUUCUUUUUCUCCUCAACUUGUCGGCCUGUUCUCCGCAAGACAGUCUGCAUAGUUCUGAGAUUAGACAUUUUGGCCGCUCAUGCAUUUUCAAUCAUUCUCCAAAAGAGGGUAUAGUUUUCCAACAAGAGGCUCCAACGCAGAUGUGCCCCUUUUGAACACAAAGGAGAAGCAGCAGCUCAGCAAACCCUUCCAGAAAGGAACAUUGUACUCCCUCCGUUCCUAAAUAUAAGUCUUUUGUAAGAUCUCACUAGAGAUUACAUAUGGAAAAAAAUAAAUUAAUAUACACUCUAAACUAUGUAUAUAUACAUUCAUAUGUAGUCCAUAGUGCAAUUUUUAAAAAGACUUAUAUUUAAGAACAAAGGAAGUAGUAAAAUACUGCUUCCUUGCAGUACAAAUCAGGAAAAGAUUCAAGACCCUGACAGAAGAAAGGAACAAUACAAAUAACAGUAGAAGUGAGAUAACAAUUCGUCAUUUCAUAAAAUAGCCCGGAGAACACAUUAUUUUAUUCGGGGAGCCUCGAACAAAAUUCCACUGGCUUUUGGACCAACAGUCAGCUAUGCUGAGUUGCCAGAUAUUGUACAUUAAGGCUUAGGUGGAGCACCAAGGAACAAUACGGUUGUGCAAGAUUAGAUUGCAAUCUUGACCACUAACUUGCGGCACCUACAGUAAUCAAAAAAAUAUGCUAGUACAUGGCAAAGGCCUGGCCAUCCAUCAACCUUAAAGGUGCAAGCUGCAACUUAUGCAAUAAAUAAAUGAACUGGCAGACUACUAAAGUAUCUCCCUCCCAGUAGGCUUCAUCUAUCUAAACAGAUAUAGAGAAUGUAAAUUAUCAUAAAUUACACUAUCUACUUCAAAUGGUCCCAGGAAAAUAGAAGACCUAUAUAUGGCCACGAACUCAUUCAAGCUACAGAAUCUAUCCUUUCGUUGAGCCCCACGGGCAAAGGGGCUGGAUACACUGAACUCCCUGAAAAAGCUCUAGGCUUUACACCUUCGAUUUGUUCUUUUCAAACCACUAAGCACAUAAGUUAUCACACCUUGCAUACUACAAGUGACCAAAGCAGAAACCCUUAGAUGCUAACUAGAAACCGGUUAGAACUUUGAUAAGUUCCAUAGGUUAUUCCCUUAUCCCCCCUUAACUUUUUCUUAAUUAGUUAAACUUUCCAGUCGUCAUAAAAUUAACAAUCAUUCUUGCACCUUUUAUAUAUUUAUUUUCCUUGCCUGGUCUUAACGUGUUCACCUCCGGUAUAAUUUACAGAAAAAAGUUAAAAGUUUAAACGGGGAUUAUUUGGUGGACCAAUGCAAGGAAGAUCAUGCCAAAGAUGCUCUGCAUCAAGCUGAUUGUGACAUUAAAAUUUGUGGGGUCAAUAGUGAGGAAGGGGGCAAAAGAAAAGGACGGAAAGAACAGCACUAACUGCAUCUGGAAGGCUGGAGUGCUCGUAACCACCAUAUCAUCAUGGAUUUUGUUACAAGGCAUCUUGUGAUUAUGUGACCUACGAGAGUGCACACUAAAAGUGGAAUCAACUAAUGUGACCUGGGUCUAACACAUGCUGAACUCCUUUGCUCGGUCUAAAGUAUGUUUCUUCAGUAAACUAACAGAUUUUCAUGUCAGCUACAAGACUAAAUAAACACAGAAAAUAAAUAUAAGGCAUAAGAAAUGGCAUUAUCAAACUAAUACUUUGAAUUAGACAUGUAUAUGUCAGGUUACUCGAAGUCAACAAAACUUUGGACACUGAUACAGGGUAGAAUAAUCUGAAUAAACCAGCAUCUUGUGAAAAAGUACUUUUCAAGAUUAUAUGGAUGACAAGAGAAGAAUGAUGCGUUCUUGCAUCACAAUCCUGCAACCCCCAUUCAUUAGUGGCCUCUGCGCAUGGAAGAUUCCUCACAUUUUCUAGCUUUCAUACCUAUAAGAAGUGGGCACCUAAGUUGAUCAUUAGAUCUAUAAUAUAGCAUAUAUUUAAAUUAACACUUGCCAUUAAGAAAAUGGAAAAACUGAGGCAUCACAGAAAGGGCCCAUCAAGUAAAAGGCAAUAAGAGUUCCAGGUCUUAGCACAGAGGCUAACAAAGGAAAAGUGAUAUGUGACAUUCCUAUGCAUUUUGAGAUAGAUCAAACUGAACUACUAUGGAACAAAUAAAUUAAUUAAAGAAGCAGGUAAUGUUAGUAAUAGAGAAAUCUCUUUCUAAUCAUGCCACUUCUUAAUCACCAAACUUUAUCCCUUUGUUUUGUAUUACUUAGUCUGACUCCUGAUAUAGUAAAGAGAUAGCUACAAAUCUAGCUUUAGCAGAUGACACAAAUCAUACUUUGCAUUGUCCCCAGCCAUCUACAGGCCUUCUCAUUAGUCAAUGAUGUACAGCCUUAAAAUCCUUCAAUAUGUUCAGUUUCAGCACAAUCCAAACUCAGUCACAAACGCAAGAGUUGUGUUUGUCUAAUAUUCUGAGAAAGUUCACAGGGAAAAGCAAAGAUAUUAGAGCAAUAAACUUUUCAGGGUAGAGGUCCGAUUAGAUUUGUUCAAUAGAAACAACAAUGUGCUAAUAAAUACUCUCUCCGUGUCUUUGAUUUAGUACACGGAGGGAGUACAUAUUUCAGUGCAAGACAAAAUGAAUCUAUUUUUGAGUCUUGCCGAUGGUACAAAGCACUGCAACUUGAUGGUGUGAGCUUUCAUGUGAACAUCUGAUGAAAUGAAAUGUAUAUGCAGAUGUAGGAUAACAGUAAUCAUUAAACAGACAAAUGUUGAUGGAUAUUCAUUUUUACGCAUAUUAAUAUAUCUGGGCAGGGGAUUUUAUUAUGAUGAGAUUCAAUCUUCUAUGUACUCGAUAUAUUGAAAUUAUGAUAUAUAUGCAUUCAGUAAUCGAGAAUAUACUGGAAAAAAAGCGCCUUAGCAAUAAGAUAAUGAUCAUCUGCAUUCUCAUUUGAUUUAGUUAUAUUGUUAUGGUCAGAAACAAACGACAAACUAAUAUCUCCUCAUAGCUCACAAUUAGUCGUACUAGCUGAAUAUCCACGCAUUCUACGGAACUAAUAUAAAUCUAAUCAUGUGGCACAUGAUUCACCAUACAAAUCCAUGUCCAAAAAAACAACAUUGUACGGCAACUUAGAAAUGGCCAAAUGAGAAAUCAAUCAUAAGGCAUAUUUUGCAAAUCCUAGAACAAGAUGGUGAAAAUCAUGGAGAUGACACCACCAGUCACGGAGUUACUUUUGGUGAAGGGGGAGGUGGAUGGCAGACGGAUCAUCACAGCACGUUAAAAGAUUGCAAUCAGAGGUCAGGCAGUGUUUAAUUGCAUUAUGAACUGCCAAAUCUUUCACUAUACAGCAUGUAUAAGGGACAAAACCAUUAAACCAAUUAUCUGCUAAAGUGAGCCCCAUUUUCAGGCUCAUGUUCAGAUCUAUUGUUCUGUCAAAAGAAUAAUAGCAGAAAUUUCGCUUAAGUAUCCAUUUCCAGUUAGUGAUGCAUUGAGGCUGUAGAUGCCAUUAUUCUCUAAACUGGUACAAUGUAGAGGUGUCAACAAUUAUAUAGAAUUACCGCACCAUGCACAUCCAAUAAAUCAGUAGAUACCAUGAUGCACUAGCCAAAUUAAUGACUGCCAGGAACCUAUUAAUAAAUUAGUCGCUGGACUGCUUUGACUACAAUGGACAGGAAUUGGGAUCAAUUUUCACUUACACAAACAUUUACAACUGUUUUCUUCUUAUCUUCUACGGGGCAAAAGAGUCACCAAACUUAAAAAUCAUGAAUCCAAUCAGCACUAAGUUGACCAUAGAAAAAGAAGAGACAAUCCAAUACACUGGCACUGGAUUAUUCCAUUUUCUCCCUGCUUGAACUCAACAAUACAUACGGACAGAAAAUGAUUCAAGCAUGCAAACCCUACUUGCAGUAGCUUAUCAUUCAGUAGGGGUAAAAGAGAAGCAGGGAAGAAGAAAGAACUGCAGGAAAUCAACGUAUGAUGCGUUGGUGGACUAUUCCAUAUUUGAUAGACAUCAUCAGUAUAACUAGAGCCUGUGACCCAGUGCCCACUAGGAUCAAAAGCAGUCAAGAAAUGAUGUGCAGCAAGUAUUGGUACUGAGGCAGGAAAAGGAUGUAGUGUUCGCUGAGCGGCCAACCAGCCAUUACGUUCAUUUUAAGUUGAUCAUCUCCUAGUUUACCUUUCAGUUUCCCAACCUAGGAAUGCACAGACACAAAAAUCCUAAAAGACAGUGGCUCAUUUUAGAUAAAAGUAAAACAUAGUAUCACAGUAUGGCAAAUACAGGAACUGAAGCCUGUGUCUAUGAAUUACCUAAACGAGAACUUUCUCAUUUGCUUAUAUACUUCAUUGUUUUUUUUUUAGACCAGGUUCUACAAGUUCACUACAUCCAGGAGCCACAGUUAGGAAACGAAGCAUAAACUGAACUUUCCAACUCACAUUUCAUACAAAACAACCAUGUCGUCAGAUACCAAUUCUUGCUCCCCAAACAUUGAUAAAUCUCAACACAGGGGGCAAUUAGCAGUACAUUCUUAUUGCAACGAUUCUAUGAAUCUUGUGAACAAGCAGCAGAUAAGCGAAAUCUAACUUGUCUCAGGCUUCGAGCAGAAAGGCACAUCUCUACACGCCCUUUCACCUCGGCGCCGCGAAAGUCACACGUCCUCCCCGCCACGGCUGCCGCCUCCGCCUGCGCCGUCCAGACCCUUGAAGCCCUCGGAGACCGCCCGCGCGCGGUUCUGCGCCUGCCUCUCCACCGCCACGAAGUACAGG
rnacentral:lncRNA from 1 species